rnacentral:rRNA from 1 species
UACGUAGGGGGCUAGCGUUGUCCGGAUUUAUUGGGCGUAAAGAGCGUGUAGGCGGCCCGGUAAGUCCGCUGUGAAAGUCCAGGGCUCAACCCUGGAAUGCCGGUGGAAACUGUCGGGCUAGAGUCCGGAAGAGGCGAGUGGAAUUCCUGGUGUAGCGGUGAAAUGCGCAGAUAUCAGGAGGAACACCAAUGGCGAAGGCAGCUCGCUGGGACGGUACUGACGCUGAGACGCGAAAGCGUGGGGAGCAAACAGG